AUGGCAACUGCAGGCAGCCAGCACUGACGGCGGGAAAAUGAGGACCGGAAGCCGGGUUACAGCCUUGGACUUCGAGCAGCCCAGGGAGAGACUCUGCGUCCUCCAGCCCCCGCUUCCCUUCAUGUCGGAGAUCCUAAGCCCGCAGCGAAGUCCGCAAAGAGCUUUCCCCGACGCCUACGAGACCGGAAGUGCCUGAGCCCAGGUGGAGGAAGGACCCGCGUGGCCUCCUCUGCGCUCCCCUGGGGUCCGUGCCCCUUCCGGCGUUUCUCCCCCGUCCUUCACCAUGGCAACUCGGGCGUUGGGAGCGUGGGCUGCGAGCCGAGUGGGUGGGGGAGCCGCUGGGCUCUAUCCGCCAGCCCACAAGAAGUGACGAAGGAGCACCCUUGAAGGAGAAUUAGACGAACUGGAGUCUACUCGGAAGAGUCUGUUGGGAAUGGCCCUGGCACCACAUCCUGAGCAGGGAUGGCCGAUGGAAUGGGGAGAAGACUCAGGUGGGGCUUGAGUGUGUCCUCCGAUGACUGAGAAGCCUUGGGAGCAUCCUUCCUGCUACUGUGUGUUUGCUGGUUCCAAUGAUACAUAAUUUGUGCUUUUCGUAAUUAAAGUAUUAUCCUGUA